AUUGAACGCUGGCGGCAUGCCUUACACAUGCAAGUCGAACGGUAACGGGUCCUUCGGGAUGCCGACGAGUGGCGAACGGGUGAGUAAUAUAUCGGAACGUGCCCAGUAGUGGGGGAUAACUGCUCGAAAGAGCAGCUAAUACCGCAUACGACCUGAGGGUGAAAGGGGGGGAUCGCAAGACCUCUCGCUAUUGGAGCGGCCGAUAUCAGAUUAGCUAGUUGGUGGGGUAAAGGCCUACCAAGGCAACGAUCUGUAGUUGGUCUGAGAGGACGACCAGCCACACUGGGACUGAGACACGGCCCAGACUCCUACGGGAGGCAGCAGUGGGGAAUUUUGGACAAUGGGCGCAAGCCUGAUCCAGCAAUGCCGCGUGCAGGAAGAAGGCCUUCGGGUUGUAAACUGCUUUUGUCAGGGAAGAAAUCUUCUGGGCUAAUACCCCGGGAGGAUGACGGUACCUGAAGAAUAAGCACCGGCUAACUACGUGCCAGCAGCCGCGGUAAUACGUAGGGUGCGAGCGUUAAUCGGAAUUACUGGGCGUAAAGCGUGCGCAGGCGGCUUUGCAAGACAGAUGUGAAAUCCCCGGGCUCAACCUGGGAACUGCAUUUGUGACUGCAAGGCUAGAGUACGGCAGAGGGGGAUGGAAUUCCGCGUGUAGCAGUGAAAUGCGUAGAUAUGCGGAGGAACACCAAUGGCGAAGGCAAUCCCCUGGGCCUGUGCUGACGCUCAUGCACGAAAGCGUGGGGAGCAAAGAGGAUUAGAUACCCUGGUAGUCCACGCCCUAAACGAUGUCAACUGGUUGUUGGACGGCUUGCUGUUCAGUAACGAAGCUAACGCGUGAAGUUGACCGCCUGGGGAGUACGGUCGCAAGGUUGAAACUCAAAGGAAUUGACGGGGACCCGCACAAGCGGUGGAUGAUGUGGUUUAAUUCGAUGCAACGCGAAAAACCUUACCUACCCUUGACAUGUCAAGAAUUCUGCAGAGAUGUGGAAGUGCUCGAAAGAGAACUUGAACACAGGUGCUGCAUGGCCGUCGUCAGCUCGUGUCGUGAGAUGUUGGGUUAAGUCCCGCAACGAGCGCAACCCUUGUCAUUAGUUGCUACGCAAGAGCACUCUAAUGAGACUGCCGGUGACAAACCGGAGGAAGGUGGGGAUGACGUCAGGUCCUCAUGGCCCUUAUGGGUAGGGCUACACACGUCAUACAAUGGCCGGUACAGAGGGCUGCCAACCCGCGAGGGGGAGCCAAUCCCAGAAAACCGGUCGUAGUCCGGAUCGUAGUCUGCAACUCGACUGCGUGAAGUCGGAAUCGCUAGUAAUCGCGGAUCAGCUUGCCGCGGUGAAUACGUUCCCGGGUCU
rnacentral:rRNA from 1 species